AACGUUGAGUUUUUCCCCAUUACGUCCGCUGACGUAUGGUUGUAUCUCUCUUUCCAUUCAUUCAUUAAUGAUUGGUUACCUCUCCGUUGGUCUUGGUAAACGUUGAGUUUUCCCCAUUACGUCGCUGACGUAUGGUUGUAUCUCUUCUUCCAUUCAUUCAUUAAUGAUUGGUUACCUCUCCGUUGGUUUUGGUAAACGUUGAGUUUUUCCCAUUACGUCCGCUGACGUAUGGUUGUAUCUCUCCUUCCAUUCAUUCAUUAAUGUCUGGCUACCUCUCCGUUGGUCUUGGUAAACGUUGAGUUUUUUUCCCAUUCCGUCCGCUGACGUAUGGUUGUAUAUCUCUUUCCAUUCAUCCGAUGAUGAUGGUUACCUCUCCGUUGGUUUCGGUAAACGUUGAGUUUUUCCCAUUGCGUCCGCUGACGUAUGGUUGUAUCCUUUCCUGGUUAUCCCCAGUAGAGUUGAUUUACCUCUCCGUUGGUCUUGGUAAACGUUGAGUUUUUCCUAGUUGUCCGUUGGCAUCUAGUUGAGAUGAUUUCUGUUCCCAUUCAUCGUGUGUCGAUGAUUGGAUGUGC
rnacentral:lncRNA from 1 species